CACUCUCGGUCUCUCACACAUUCAGUCUCCAGCUUGCUUGAGAAGCAAGAUCUCACCCACGUGCGAGACGGUUAUAUUCCAUUCCCGCCAAGCACCAAGCUUAAAUUGAACAUCACACCCAUUUUUCCAUUCUCCAAAUCAAAAAAACACCCAAACCUCUCUCCGAUAACCUCACAAUAUGCCGAGUAUCACCGCUGUGAUUCAAGAAAACCUGCACUGGACUCUUGCAAUGUCGAGGAUGAACGGCGUUCAAGUUCCAAAUGGAACUUCACCUGAAGAUCUGUUAGCAUAUUGCCAAAGCAGAGCACACAUAUUUGAGAGAGAUGAUUGGGCCGAUGAACGUUUUACCCCUGGGAGAGCGAUGUUGCUGAACCUUGACCUCUUUUAUUGAUGAUGCUUUAGGGAGAUGGAGCUUUGUAGGAGGACUUUAGAGCGACAAUGAGUUGUAGUGUAGGUUUUAGUACAUAUUUCAGUUGUAUGUGGAUGCAAAUAUGUUUUUGUAAGUAAGAGCUGAAUUGCUUCAAUUGCAUCUGCUUUUUGUGAUUACAAGGUCUUCUGACCAUUCACUUGUGAAUUGUGAUGGGAUGCUUCCACUUGUUCUCCACCAGUAGGUUUGGAAGUUGGAACCUACUUUAAUAAAUACCAUAACUAUCUUGUUCU